CCGCGGCAAGAGAGGGAGAGGAGAGAGAAAACGUGCGCACAGUGGACAGCGGUUUUCCGGUGCGAUUCCGGCUUCAUCCGACGUCCGAUCGAGGCGAUUCCGGUGGCGUUGGAAAGCUUGUUCCGAGAGCUUUCUUUUGAUACCAAUUUUGAAGCAAAUGGAGGUCGGAUGAGUGAGAUAUGGAGGAGAGAAGUUUCGGGUUUUUCAAGCUUUUUUGUCAGAUCUACGACGAUCCGACCGUUGGAUCGUCGAUCCGAGACCACAUAUGGACUGAGGAAGAGGAGAGGAACAUGGUGGUAUGAUCAGACCCGGCAAAUUUCGUCGGCGACCGGCGGCCGGCCACCGUGCGCGGUGGUGCCGGCGGUGACUCCAGUGAGCUAUGGAGAUGGUUCAACUUCCAGAGGCUUCCUCAUAAAUUUUCGGAAUUUUUGAGACACAGAUAAACUUCAGGCUACAGGAGGAGACAUUUUUCAGAAUAACCUGUCCCUUUCCUCUCAGGUUAUGAAAAAGAUUACUUAAUUGUAUUAUUAUUCUCUAAAUUUGUAAUUUAGGACUCCGCAUGUGCUAGUAGUAGCAUUAAGCCUAUCAGAGACUGUAUGAAUUCAAGUUUUCAUAUUAAUAAAUGAAAAGAAAAAAAUUUUUA